UACAGAGGUCUCAAGCGUUUGUUCGGAUUCAUUGGGCGUAAAGGGUGUGUAGGUGGCGCGCUAAGUCGGGUGUGAAAUUUCGGAGCUUAACUCCGAAACUGCAUUCGAUACUGGCGUGCUUGAGGACUGGAGAGGAGACUGGAAUUCAUGGUGUAGCAGUGAAAAUGCGUAGAGAUAUGAGGAAGACCCAGUGGCGAAAGGCGGGUCUCUGGGACAGUUCCUGACACUGA
rnacentral:rRNA from 1 species